rnacentral:lncRNA from 1 species
GAAAUUUUCAUCUCUCAUUCCAACUAGACUUGCUCCUGAAGGUUUCUUGGAUGCUACUUCCUGUCAUUUACCAGCUGGGUGUUGUCCUGUUUGCCUGCCUGACACUGAAGCUCAGAGAUACAACUCACUACUGUGCCACUCGUUAUGAUUCCUCUCCAUUCGCUUCAAAAGAGCAUCUACCGGCAAACACUGUCUCCUUUCAGAACAAGACUCUGGCUGGAUGGAAGGCCACCGCGUCUGGCAGCAAUUCUCUCAAGUACCACAUUUCAAUUGCUUUGCCACAUUUCAAUUAGGAGACCUUUGAGGUGAGAAAGGAAAAAGAAAUAGAGCGGGAGCCAGGUGAUGCUGAAAGCGAAACAGAGCAAAGCCACAUUCGGAGGCAUCUCAGGGCUGGAAAAAAAGAAGACGAAGGAAAAGAACUCGUCUAUGUCGCAACUCAACAUAGACGGCCGGCCGUAGCAUGUAUUCCUGCAUACUAAGUUUAAGUGGAGAAUGUCCAACUCACUAAGAGGAUGGAGUGGGCCUCCUUCACUGUGAUACACCUUUCUAGAAGCUGCGCGCUACCCAUGGGUAGUCAUUUAUAUUGGUCUGUCUGUUGGAAAAAAGAAAAGGAUGUAUGUGAUGUAAGCAGAAAGGAAAGUUGUUGGCUAAAAUAUUUUAUAACCUAGAGGGUGCUCAACGUUGGGGCUGUCUGCAUCUUACAAUGAUGCUCUCAGUGCUGUGCAUCAUUCCGUUCUGGUCUACUCUCUCUUGUGUGUCCCACAAGAUGACAACAGAUUCACACUCUAGAACCUAGGCAGUGAGUAAGAGAGAUAGACUGUGGUUUGGAUGGAUAUUGUUCACUCACAGACUUAUGUAUUUGGACACUUGGUCCCCAGGUGGUGGGGCUAUUUGGUGAGGCCGUGGAACCCGUAGGAGGUGGGGCCUUACUGGAGGAAGUCUGUCAUUGGGGAUGGGGUGGGGAGGUUAUAGCCUCUCCCCACUUCCCGUUUGUACUCUCAGGACCCUUUAAUCUUCUGCUGCAGCCACCUGUUCCCACCUGCUCCAGUACCUCCCAUGGCCAUUAUGGUCUCUCCCUCUGGAACCGCAGGUGCAAAUAAAUCCUUCCUUCUACAAUAAACCA